AGGAGCGAANCGGGUUUAGACACCCGGGUAGUCCCAGCUNUAAACGAUGCGGGCUAGGUAUUGGUGCAGNUACGUGCUGUUCCAGUGCCGCAGAGAAGUUGUUAAGCCCGCCGCUUGGGAAGUACGGCCGCAAGGCUGAAACUUAAAGGAAUUGGCGGGGGAGCACCACAAGGGGUGAAGCCUGCGGUUCAAUUGGAGUCAACGCCGGGAAUCACUA
rnacentral:rRNA from 1 species